rnacentral:rRNA from 1 species
UACGGGGGGAGCAAGCGUUGUUCGGAUUUACUGGCGUAAAGGGCGCGUAGGCGGCCAGCACAAGUCAGUUGUGAAAUCUCCGAGCUUAACUCGGAAAGGUCAACUGAUACUGUGCGGCUAGAGUGCGGAAGGAGCAACUGGAAUUCUUGGUGUAGCGGUGAAUGCGUAGAUAUCAAGAGGAACACCUGCGGCGAAGGCGGGUUGCUGGGCCGACACUGACGCUGAGGCGCGAAAGCCAGGGGAGCGAACGGG